UGGGAGCUUGCUCCCUGAUGUUAGCGGCGGACGGGUGAGUAACACGUGGGUAACCUGCCUGUAAGACUGGGAUAACUCCGGGAAACCGGGGCUAAUACCGGAUGGUUGUUUGAACCGCAUGGUUCAGACAUAAAAGGUGGCUUCGGCUACCACUUACAGAUGGACCCGCGGCGCAUUAGCUAGUUGGUGAGGUAACGGCUCACCAAGGCGACGAUGCGUAGCCGACCUGAGAGGGUGAUCGGCCACACUGGGACUGAGACACGGCCCAGACUCCUACGGGAGGCAGCAGUAGGGAAUCUUCCGCAAUGGACGAAAGUCUGACGGAGCAACGCCGCGUGAGUGAUGAAGGUUUUCGGAUCGUAAAGCUCUGUUGUUAGGGAAGAACAAGUGCCGUUCAAAUAGGGCGGCACCUUGACGGUACCUAACCAGAAAGCCACGGCUAACUACGUGCCAGCAGCCGCGGUAAUACGUAGGUGGCAAGCGUUGUCCGGAAUUAUUGGGCGUAAAGGGCUCGCAGGCGGUUUCUUAAGUCUGAUGUGAAAGCCCCCGGCUCAACCGGGGAGGGUCAUUGGAAACUGGGGAACUUGA
rnacentral:rRNA from 1 species